AAGAUGACACCGCCGGCAUCGGUGUGGGCACGGAGGCCAUUCACUAGCUCUGGGUGUGGACAUGGUGGGUAAUGGCUGAUUUUGGUUCCAAAGAAGGCCUUUUCCAGCCCUUCGCCACCAUUGAAGGCAGCCUUUAUGUAUCCUUCAGGUAAACCUAAGUUCUCAUCCAUUACUGCCAUCACCUUUUCAGCUAGUUUUCUCAGCUCCGAUCUGUACUCUCUCAUGGUUUCCCUGCCAUAAUUGGAUUCAUAUACAUAUAUUAUUUCCUGUUUUUAAGAAGAAUCUGAUUUCAAUGCCCUAUUUUCACUGAAUUUUCAUGAAAGUUGAAUGCUUACUUAAAUCCAGGAAGGUUGGAGGGCCAUUCGUUGUCAUCAUGGAGAAGGAAGACAUCUUCCCAAUCAAGAUUUUCCAGCUUCUCACCACUCUUGUUCUCAAGCAAAUCAUUCAGGAGCUUCACAGGUUUUGAACUCUUGAAACUUUCUUCUCUUUCCACCUUGUAGCACUCUGAAGAAACCUUCUUCACCCUCUCUAGGAGCUCUUCAGGAAUCCCAUGGUUCACCAGCUGACGUAUUCAAAUAACAUAUAUUCCUUUUAAUCAAACCAUAAUCCAAAUAUUUAUGUCCCGUUUGGUAACUGUUGGUUUUUAAUAUUUGAAAAUUAAGCUUAUAAAAUACCACUUUCAUCUUUUAAUUUCUUUGUUUUGUUGUCUAUGUGUUAGAAGUGUUUUAAAGUGUUUUUAAAGUCAGUUAAAGUUUCAAAAUAAGAAAAAGAACAAAAAAAAAAAAAAAUAGUCUUCAUAUACUUAUUUUUGUUUUUAGAAAUUGAUUUAGAAUUCAAGUGAACUAUGAAAACUAGAAGUAAGAAGAAGUGAGAAAUGAGGCACGAUUUUCAAAAACCAAUAACCAUAUAGCUACCAAGUGGCACUUUAAACACUAGAACACCAGCCGUUACACUACAAGUACUAUAGUUGGGACAUACUUUGAACAUGAUAAAAUCACUUUGAAACAUAUUAACCGUUAAAAAUUAAUUUAAAGUUAUAUUUUAUAUUUUUAAGCACAAUUGAAAUGUCCUGAAAAAUCAACUUUGAAUAAUUAAAAAUAUGUUUUGAAUUGAUUUUGAAUACGUGAAGAACAUGCCCUUCGCAUCAACCUGAAACUUGCAGACAAAAGACUAAUAGUUAAUGUACCUGAAAGAAUCCCCAUUCUUCGCAGCCAUUGGCUAUCUGAGCCAAUGUCUUGGCCCUUUCUUGCCCAUUAAGCUUAGAGAAAUCAAUGACUGGAAUUGCCAUUAGAAAGCUGAAAACACAGGUUUUUUUUUCUUUUGAAGGGAUGAAAUUUGAUUGAGAGAGUAGUAGUUUAUGUUGAUGGGUUUAGAAAGAAAAGGGGUGCCCCUAUUUAUAACACUUUUCCCUCCCAACUUUGAUGUCAACCCUUUAGUAAUUAAAAUCCCCUUUUCUUUUAAAACAAGUCCCCCCUCCUUUGAAAUGGGACGGUGACUUUUUUUAGUAAAAUAAUUAUUCAAAAAAGUCAAUGAUCUCUCUCAAAUUCCAACCUUUGUUUGCAAACACAUUACUGAAGCACUCAACUUCAUGUAGGGUCCCACAAACACUUCAUUUAUCAAUUAAUUAUUUGGGUUUUGUUUUCAUUAAUUAUUCUUUCACUAAACGUUGCCGACUGAUCCUUUUUAUUUGCCUUCAAUCUCUUGAACUUCCAGGCUAUCAAUCAUCGGGGGACUAUAUUUCAUUUUCAUAAUUACUAAGUAAUUUAUGCAGUCCCAAGUUCUAGGUUGUGUACUUUUAUCCUAAUCAGGCUUACUUUUGAUCUGUG
rnacentral:lncRNA from 1 species